AUUGAACGCUGGCGGCAGGCCUAACACAUGCAAGUCGAGCGGAUGAAGGGAGCUUGCUCCUGGCUUCAGCGGCGGACGGGUGAGUAAUGCCUAGGAAUCUGCCUGGUAGUGGGGGCUAACGUCCGGAAACGGGCGCUAAUACCGCAUACGUCCUGAGGGAGAAAGGCGGGGAUCUUCGGACCUCACGCUAUCAGAUGACACUAGGUCGGAUUAGCUAGUUGGUGGGGUAAAGGCCUACCAAGGCGACGAUCCGUAACUGGUCUGAGAGGAUGAUCAGCCACACUGGAACUGAGACACGGUCCAGACUCCUACGGGAGGCAGCAGUGGGGAAUAUUGGACAAUGGGCGAAAGCCUGACGCAGCCAUGCCGCGUGUGUGAAGAAGGUCUUCGGAUUGUAAAGCACUGUUAGUAGGGAAGAAGGGAAGUGAGUGAAACUCUUCCUGUCUUGACGUUACCAACACAAAAAGCACCGGCUAACUACGUG
rnacentral:rRNA from 1 species